rnacentral:rRNA from 1 species
GACGAACGCUGGCGGCGUGCUUAACACAUGCAAGUCGAGCGGUAAGGCCCUUUCGGGGGUACACGAGCGGCGAACGGGUGAGUAACACGUGGGUGACCUGCCCUCAGCUCUGGGAUAAGCCUGGGAAACUGGGUCUAAUACUGGAUAUGACUCCACGGUGCAUGUCGUGGGGUGGAAAGCCUUGUGCGGCUGAGGAUGGGCCCGCGGCCUAUCAGCUUGUUGGUGGGGUGAUGGCCUACCAAGGCGACGACGGGUAGCCGGCCUGAGAGGGCGACCGGCCACACUGGGACUGAGACACGGCCCAGGACUCCUACGGGAGGCAGCAGUGGGGAAUCUUGCGCAAUGGGCGAAAGCCUGACGCAGCGACGCCGCGUGAGGGAUGAC